AAAGACUAAUCAAACCAUCUAGUAACUGCUUCCCUCUGAAGUUUCCCUCAAGAUAGCCGGCGCUUCCCGCUCACAGUUUUAUCUGGUAAAGCGAAUGACUAGAGGCCUUGGGGCCGAAAUGAUCUCAACCCUCCACAAACACAA